rnacentral:ncRNA from 1 species
GUAUAUGAAGGGCAAACUGUUUGAAAGGACAGGACGCAAAGUCACAGGUCUAAGGUUGAAAAACUAUGAUGGCUGGAUUUCCUGG